AGAUAAAAAAUAAUAAUCAAGUACGCAUAAAAUUGGUAGGUUCUCAGACAAUAUAUUGACAUAUGAGAACGUACAUGACACAUAUCACUGUGGACAUUGUCUAUGGCCUUAUUACAAGCAACAAGAGAAAUUACAUAGGCGUGUGAGUGCGCGUGCGCGCGCACACACACGUGCACACAUGCAUGACAUACAUGGAUUGACUAGAGGUCGCCCCAUAUAGUCAACAAUUUAUUGGAGGUAAACAUUAGCAUAACUUGGCCAUAGAUCGAAGCAAUCCAACAUAUGCCGAUGAAUGGCAUCCAUGUUGGUAGCAAUGCAAGCAUAUCGUUUUAGUACAGUCCUUCCAUCUUCGAAGCCACUCCCAUUUCAUCCAUCUUAGCAACCACUGUGAAAUUAAGAUAUAAAACUCCCAUUAGCUCAUGAGUUAAUUUUGCUAGGGCAGGAGAGUAUAAGAGGUCUUUGUGUAGGAAGUAACAUGCUUGAAGUUGUGAGAUGGGACAUGAAGUCAACGAAGUACAUUAAUGAAAAUCGGUGGAAGGUCACAGAGAUGUAUUAGUCCACCAUACGACACAGAUCUUGUAUUUACAAAUAUCAAAGGCAUUGAUUAAAGUGAGUUUAGUGCAUUUACCAGAAUCUUCAAGAAUACAGGGAAACAACAAGUGUUCUUGCAGGCAAAGUCAGAGCCACCCGCAAAAAUACAAGUAGAACAACAUCCUUUUGCGGCUAAGCUUAUGCAGCAGCCACAGUCUGCGGUGGUCGAGUUUACGGUGAGGCUCAGGAUGAGCAGGCACAUGAUCACCUUCAAAGUGGUAGUGCUAGUGACCAUCCUCUUACCCUCCAUUUUCUCUUGUUGAUGUUGCCUGCCUUGGUUACCUAGAUAAGUUUCUUGGUUUUGUGUUGAGAGGUGCUUCUUAAAUGGAUGUUGCUUGCUGCAAUUUAUAGGCAAUUGCAUUACGUUAUGAUAUGUAUAAGGUGCGAGUGGGUGGAAAAUCAUGUCGUAUUCAAUGUGACAGUAUCGACAAUUGAUGACAUUGGUUGGUAACCCGGACAAAUUCAUUCACACGUAUCUUGCGGAGGAAAUGUUGCAUCACCUACCAUAUUCAAUAUUAGGGAGAAAGCCUGAACUACACCAAUAGUGUGCAACUAGGCACAAAAAGCUACCACAAGUAGUGGAGUUCGUAUGAUAUUAGCAAGCUAUUAACAAUAACCAUGGAGGCAAUUAACACUAGCCCGUCAAAGAUGGUGCUAGCAACUUAUGGUGUUCAAUGCAACACCAGAGCAAAUAUGUAUGGACUUUGGUUAGUAAAAUUUCAACAGGCGCUACAUAUAUAUUUUGCUAUACAAAAUUGAUUGGAAGCAAUAGAGUAGGCUAGUUCCUAGGUAGACCUUUAGCAAUGUUCAUUUUGGCCAUGGUAUCGGAGAUCAGAUUAUAAGUAUGACGUACAUGCAACUUGAUCCCUUGUCCUCAUAUUUUAAUUCCCGCAUUCACAAGUUGCACGUACUAAGCACUCCCAAUUAUUACCCUUUUCAUUAUGCAACUAUUUUUAGAAUUUAUUUAUUUUUAAUAUACAAAUGUCAUUUAACAAACAAUCUAUUUUAUUCAGCUAGCGGAGGUCGGGCAAAACCGUUUUUUAUCCAAGUCUAGAAAACCUUGUAUAUUGUUCGGGCAUACAUUUUGCAUUUCUAAGAUAGAACCCCAAGAUAUUAGGCAUUGUGUCAGUUGUAUCAAACUUAUUUCUAUAUGACAUCAAAAUGUUAGAGAUAUUGAUAUGAUGCAAUGCACCGGGAUUAUCCUUAAAAACGAAAAACAAUUAAAAGGAGGAAAACUUGUGCAAAUAGUCCUUACGUGAUAUGGUCCUCAUCAAAAUUACCAAAUUUGGAAUAUGGUGCUUCGAAAAAAGAGUGUUCUCAAAAAGAGGUAUCAUGCCUGGCUUAUCUUGGCUUUCAACCCAAAUGGCCAAGCGAUGGCCAUAUCCAUGGCAAACAUUGUUUUUCGUUUUCCCAUAUUCGGCACACACAUGCAUCUUGGAACACAAAUCCAACCAACAACCAAUGAUCGUUUCAUUUCUUAGAGGUGCGGGCGAGGACAAUUAAAAACUUGUGAAACAGGUGUACCCGAGGCUUAAUUCACUAUUCGAGUAUACAGAUUGGGUCACUCUGUGUCGAAAUCACAACAAGAAAAUGUUUUGUUGAACAUCCUCUGUUAGAUAAGACUACAAGAUGAUGGUACUUUUGGGUCCUUCACAAAACAAGAAACUAACCAAGAGAUUAGGAUGACUGAUCUGUCCCAUGUAUGUCCUGCAAAUCAGUUGUUGAUAACGUUGCCAUUAUUUAGGAAAAGUCUCCUCACCUGAAUAUAUAUAUGCCACAAACCUUUAUUUAGGAAAAGGCUCCUCACCUCAAUAUAUUUCAAAUGUUUGACAAUUUUACAGGAUCAUGCAUAUGCGCGCUCCUUGGGUGCCCCAGAUUUUAGCCUAUGUAUCCAUAUGUAAGGUAAGAUCAGUGCCAAUGUUUUCGAUGGUGUCAAGGGGAGGAUCAUCUACAACUUAGAACAUCUUGUUCAUGGCACCCCAUAUUAUCCAUACUACAUGUAGAAGAAUUAAGCAUGGGAUAAAUAUAGCCAGAGGGCAUUGCGGUUGAGAAGAGAUCACCAAUUUGGAUGGAGAGUGCGUGCCAUAUCCUUCAAGCAGCAUGACAGGUGAAGAAGAGGUGAUGUCUAUCAUGGGCAGAUGGAGCUGGUGAGGAUUCUUUAUAUUUUGUAGAUUGCAUCUUGUGUUCACUCUGUCCAGGUAGAAGAGCCAGGCGAAGAUCUGUAUUCUCUUUCAAGGUGCGGUCCUAUGGAUCCGAAAGCUGGGGUGAUAGGGCAGCAUAUGCCCCCUCUUGAUGAAAGCUGACCCAUUAAGCAACCCUCGCUCGUCAGGAUCCUACAACAGAGAGUUUAACGAGCCAAGCUCUGGCGAGGCAGUUGAGGUUAGUCGGUUACGCAAGGAAAGUUCGACCUGCAUGAUGGCAUCUUUGGUGGGAUCGGUGAGAGAAAAUGGUAGGGAAAACAUUGGCUAAUGGUUCAGGGUUGAUCCACCUGUCAAGCCAAAACAAACAAUCUCAAACAGUGGCUAAUGGUUCAGGUCUCCCAAAAAGAAUCUUUAGUUUGUUAGAUAAUAUUAUUUGCAUGGUUGUUUCCUAGUGUAUCAUAUAUGGACUCUUGGGCCGAUAGGAUCUUCUUUGUAAACGUAUGUACUUCAAAACAUGAGGAAACCAUAUCUCGUUUAGUCCUAGCCGUAAAAUUAAGAUCUGAUGGUUAUUUAUCAGCACUUGUCAAGGAUUAACGUGGAGGCUCGUAUGGUGCCUCCAAUUAAUAAAUAUAUGAUUUUGAGAUGGGCUUCUUAUAUAUUUCGCUAUAAAAAUUGAUUGGAACAAAUACGUACGCCUAGUUUGCUAGGAUAGGCCUUUAGCAAGGUUUAUCAUCUCCACUGUGUUGAAGAUUAGAUGAUAAGUAUGAACUAAAUGCAACUUGAUCCCAAGUCUUCAUAUUCCAAUCCCCAAAUUUACAACUUGCUCGUACUAUGCACAUCCUAUUAGUAACUUUUUUUGCUAGGAACACUUUUUAUAAUUUAUUUGUUUGUGAAUACACAAAUGUCAUUUUAACAGACUAUCUAUUUUUAUUCAGCUAGCAGAGGUUGGGCACAAUCAAUUUUUAUCCAAGACUAAAAAACCAUGUACAUUUUCGGGGGGCAUACAUCUUGUGUUUCUAAGAGACAACACUAAGAUAUUAUGCAUUGUGCCUCUUGUAUCAAACUUGUUUUUGUAUGUCAUAGAAAUAAUAGAGAUAGUGAUAUGAUUCACUGCACAUGGAUUAUCCUAAAAUAGAGAAACAAUUUAAAAACGGGAAACUUGCACAAAGAGUCCUUUUACGUGAUAUGGUUUCCAUAAAAAAUACCAAAAUUGAAAUAUGACGCUUUGAAAAAAAAGUGUUCUCGGAAAGAGGUAUCAUGUAUGCUUAUCUUGGCUUUCAACCCAAAAUACCAAGGCGAUAGUCAUAUCCAUGGGAAACAUGGUGGUAUUUUGCCCAUAUUCGGCACACAUGUGCAUCUUGGCAUGGCUUUACAAUGACACCUUAUUCACGUUGAUAAGAGCCUGUAUGCAAUAGCUACGACUCUCCUAAAACAUUGUCGACCGAUGAAAUCUCUGGACCAAAAGUUGGGCAGAAAACGCCAGACCAGUGAAUGGGGUGCCAAAACAUGGAAAAGGGCGGGGAAUUGCCAAAAUUCUACCGUUGGUUGUAGCCUCACUGAAACCGACAUGUAAUUUGACCGUCGAAUAUUCAGACAACCUGGAACCCUAGCAUGCUACCAGGGCACCGACAUAAUGCAUGUAUUCUGUGCAUGCGGUACUGGCGCCCCCGCGACCAGAGGAAGGAAUAAACACCUAGACGGUACGCUAGUGCCUAAAUUUGGGCGGGAGAACACCAGAGUGGUGAGUUGGCCACCAAAAGAUGAAAAAGGGCUAGUCUUUGGCAGGUAUAAACAAGGGGGGAGGGGGGCUGGUAUUUCGGGUGCCAGAUCUUGUGAAGGUAAACAAGGAGAGAGACAUAAGAUGGAUACAAGCUGCUCCUCUGCCUUUGUUUGACUUGACUCAGCUGAAACAUAAUGUCGUUUCCAAAGAAACUUCAAUUACUGUUGAGAAGAGACAAAACCAAAUACUGCCAUUACACAAUAUAUAUCCGUCGUAAGAUAUUGAUUAAGCUAACCAAGCUGGACAUUGCCUACAGUACACCUAGAUAACUUAAUUUAUGCUAGCGACCGUGACGGCGAUCACCAAUUGAUUGUAUUUAGUGACUAAUAACCUGCCAUUGGUAUAUUUCAAAUUUUAUAUAUCAUUUGAUCCUCACCAUCGUCGGACAUGAUCGAGUCACAUAGAUAGGUACAAGUAGCUGUUCUGAGAAUAAGAAGAAAAAAUCGAUGCACUGACAAUCUCCAAUGUGUGUCCAUCUCAACCAUUUUAAAUUAAUUAGUACAAGUCCAAAUUAUCUGCUCUCCGGUAGAAACUAAAUUAGUCACGUUUGUUACGCUAGAGUUUGGUGCCAACGAACAAACCUAGCAAAUCAAUUGCACGUGGUCUCCUUAAACUACAAACAACGACAAUGAUGGAGGAGCCACUAAAUAGAAGGCCGGGCAGCGAUAGAAUGUACUUACUCAAUGGUUGCUAAUUUUUGUUGGUAAAUUGCGAGCGUUCUCCAGGGACGAACUCAAGAAGCAGUUUUUCUUGAUGAACGGACAAUAAGCUCCACCAUGCAAAAAUAUAAGGUUUCAGUUUGAGGAUCCAACAAUAGUUCAUCAUGGAGCCUGAUGCACCAAGGUCAUAAUGCUGGUCUGGUGUGCAAAAUCCAAAGUAUGCAUCAGUUCUGCUCUCACACAUUGCGGAUCGUUCGAAUAUGCCAUCCAGAUCUUGUCUGUCCUGGAUAUACUUUUUGCUCGGAAUUAUAAAACUGUUCCUUUAUAAACUACUUACAGAAGCAUGAUUGUGGCUGUUGAACAUUUACUUUCCUUGAGUCGAAAAGACGCGCUAAUUUAGGGAAGCAGCAUGUGGGCACUGGAUAUCAUGUGCAUGCAUGUUCUUAACCCCCAAGCCACAUAGAUUAUUUGGCCCCAGAGCAAACCGCUUGGUUUGACCAGAAAAAAGACCUUCUACCCUUAUCCAUAGCAUAUGAAUGGAGAAGCAGAGCAUGAGCAGUGGGCAAACUAUCUAUCCUCUGAGAUGGACCAAGGAUAGAUAGUCGUUAGUGGCUCUAUAAAGAGGCCGGAUUCUGUCACACACAUAAGGGCUAAUUUUGCAGCAAGGUAAACGAAACCAGGGUAGCAAACCUUCGGGAGAUUAUACGCUAUUACUCACCUUCGGGAGAUUAUACGUUUCAAUCACUAUAUAUAUGACGUGCAAAAUGCAGCACACAUCCAUCACCAUCAGUUGAACCCGUGUCACACAAACUCCAAAGUCCAUACUUCUCUAGGUGUCAUCUCACUAUGCUGGAUACCUCUCCAAGUCUAUAUGUGAUGGACGGACGGACCAAGGCUCACUGGGCUUAAACACCUCCGGAAUGACAACCUCUACUACAACUCAACUCUGGAUUUUCGUACCUGUGCGUUUCACCAAACCAGUUGAUUAUCACCCCACUCUGCUCUUCUCUUCUCCAUGUAGAGUAGACCAGAGUAGGGACAACGAACACAUCAAUUACCAUCACAUACUAAAGUAUAUUCUAACAGCUGCUACAACUGAAUCAAUUAAUCAUGCCAAACACCCGUGCAUACCCACUCACUGCCAUUAUGUCCCGAAAUUGUCCAGCCUAGAACACACAAAUAAAAUAGAAUAGUCUCUAGUCUCCAUGCACUUUCACUGUUUGAUUGAUCACAAAAACUUACCUCAACAGUAAGAAAAUACACAAAUUUUGUUUUUCUCUGAUAUAUGAGAUCACAGAUUUUAGCCUUUUGGUGGUUCUAUUGACAUCAAUUGCAUGUACUAUAUUCACGGAUGCAAUUUUCUAACAAACCUUGCUAGCUAAUCUCCCUCGCACCUGCUCACAUCAAGAUUUAAACUGGAUGAGAUAAUGUAUAUGACUAUGUCUGACAUCAAGUUUAAGCGUUUAUGGUUCACGUUUUACAUCAAGUAUAUCGUAGUGUAGAGUAGCAAACUUAAUUCUCGAAAUCACCCAUACCAACGAAUGAAUGAAGAACCAAAGAGAUAAUUACAUCAGAGCUAGUCACUCCAUAGGCAAUAUCAGCAUAUUGUUAAUUGUUAAUGUGUAUAUCGAUCAAGUUUGUUUCUUUUCAAGUAAUCUAACACAUUCACCAAGGGAUUAAAUUGUAACUGAAUAGUACCAUUAGAAGUACAAAUAAGUUAACUAUUUGACAUUUGAUUUUCCACUAUUACUAAUUUUAUUUUUUAUUUUUUAUAUUCAAAUCUUCCGAGGUUUGUGUACAUUUUGUGUUGUUUAAGCCUGUCGGUCGACUGUAGAGUAGCCGCGCACCUCAUUCUUAUCCAUCUAAUCACAUGCACUAUGGUCUUCGCGUGGCAUUAAUUAAUUCCAUUGAUCAGUGAUAUAUUAUGUAGCUUGCUAGUUAAUAAUUAAUUAAUUAGCAGUUGAUGCAACUGCUCCAUUAUUAACAAUAAAAAGGCAUCCUCGUUUAGCUCGCAGGUCUUGUAUGAAUGCAUAAUCAUUUGCAUAAUAAUUAGGUAAGGCCGCUAGUUGGUGAGAAAUGCAUUGUACUUUCCUUGAGAUUAUCUGUCGACACCAAGCUGGUCAAUGGCGUGCAAUUUGAGAGCACUACCCUAUUCUCUGGGUUGUUAUAAAAAAAUUAAGGCAAAGGGACUCUGUACCCGUUGUAUCGAAUUGACAUGUACCUAGGAUAAAACUAAAUUAAUUGAUUCAUAAUCUAGUACAACAAAGGUGAAAUAAUUUAAAAAUCACUCCCUAAAAAAAGUAUAAGAAUGUGGCAAUCGCUCCCUAAAAACGGAAUGUAACAAUCACUCGUGGAAGGGGAAACGGCAAGACACCGCAAUGUCACUCGAACACUUUGACGUGUAGUACUGGGUAUGGGGAGAUUAUGUUGGGAUAAGAUAGUGGAUUGCCGGAGCCGGAGACCUCACCGGAGAGUUGGAAUUCCCCAUGUGGAUUCUGCUGUUGGCGAAAAAGCUGGUAAAGUGAAUGAGAGGACGGUGGCGAACGGACACUGCACAUUCACCGGAUCUGGGCAAGGAAAGGGCACAAAUGAACAACACCUUCUUUUUCUGUUUUUUAAACGCCAAAAAGGUGCAGGUGUGUUAUGAAUCAAACUAGUGACCUCCUGCUUCAACGUAAGCUGCAGUAACCACUUACUUUUUUUCUUCAUAUUUUCUUCUUUCUACUUUUCUUUUUUCUUGUUUCUGGUUCGUUGAGGUUUUUUCCAAUUUUGUGAACUAUUUUUUUCAAAAUCAAUGAACUUUUUUCAAUUUGUAUACUUUUUUUUUUCUGAAAUUGACAAAAAAUUGUAAUCAAUUGGUUUACUUUUUUUUCCAAAUUUUGUGAUACUUAAGAAAAGUCAACUAGUCAGUCAGUGAACCGAUCAACUGGCACCAGUCAACCAGUGAGAGAUCUGAAGCGUAGGGAACACUCAACCCGGUUGCAUUUUGCUGCGCUGCAGCGAGAUGACAUUUUCAGCCGCAACCCAUGAAUGAAGGUAGUGAGCGCCAGGGAUUCUUUUCGCUGCUUGAAGCGCCGAAUAGGAGCUCCCAUGAGUUAGAUAGCUUUUGGGUGCAAAUUCAGUUUGCAGAUCAACGAGGCCACAAGCUUUCCGGUUGUUUUUUCCUUAAUCCAGUUCCAUCUAUGUAAAACUGCGAACGACGGAUCAUCCAUCUUGAACGGAUCAACAUGCACAUGGUCAGCUCGAUCGUUACGCCAAAUGAAUACAAAUUAUGCACACACAAUCCGACGCGGCGAGUGAGAGCGACUUUGUUGAGAGGACCAAACUACCAUUAUUUUAUCUCAUUCUUCGUAUGAUAUUAAAACCGGCUAUUAGCUGUUUGUCUCUUGUAGACAUAUUUAAUCAGCUAUGUCAUACAAUACAAAUUAGGUGUUCCAUCACCUUCACAUUCAACUGCGGGUAUUCUGUUCUCGCAGAUGACUGGCUCUUUCAUAAAGAAUGUUUAAGGAAGUCUUAAUGACUGGGAAAGCCCUCCAGAUAGAAUGGUUGAAGUACUCUUGAACUGCACUGUAUGUAUUGCUUCUAGCUUUGGAUGAGCUUAAUAUCAUUUACGAGUAUUAAUCUAGUUCAUAUGGAAGUUUGUAUCCAAGCUAGUUGUGUACGUAUAUUAGGAGUCCAAGUGUUUGGCCGAGCUUAGCACUAGUCCGACUAGGAUAAGUAUGAUGGUUGAUCAUGUACACGUGGUUUUUUGAGUUUGGGUUCCAAGGUGUGUCCUAAUGCUAGUAGUAAUAGGAAGUACGAGGUACGAGUAGGAUUAGUUGGUCUAUAGGUUGGCCACAUUGUGUGUGUGUGUGUGUGUACAUACUAGCAAAAUAGAUUGUGCGUUGCAACGAGAGAGAAAAUAACACACACUCUUAACCUAGUAACCAUGAAUCAAGAUUCUAAUAGGUCCACGCCCUUUAUUUUCAAAUGGAAUCACAUUUUUGUUGCCGACGGUGGUCUCAGUGCUCAGAAAACGAAAUCGCGUUUGAAUGUGGUCAGUCCUAGGCCUCUCUCUCUCUCUCUCUCUCUCUCUCUCUCUCUCUCUCUCUCUCUCUCUCUCUCUCUCUCUCUCUCUCUCACGCGCGGGCACGCGCACUCACUCGGAAUAAUAUGAGAAAUAUGUUGUUUUCAGCGGUGUGCAUGCAUGGUUAUCGAUGUUUUCUUUCCUCUCAAUCUGGUUUUAAUGGGUGUUUAUUUGAAAUUCGAAUCGCCGCCAGUACCAAAGAAAAAGGACCAUGCACAAUAAACUAAGUUUGCACCAAAAAUAAUAUUUAAGAAAUAUUUAACAGCUAAAAAUAACAUAAUGUUUAGAUUCUACACAUUUUUUAAUCAAAUUUCAUAUAUAACAUGUUAAAAUUAGAGUUACGGUUUAAAAAUAUGAAUAAUUUUGUCUUAGAUAAACUAUGGAUUGAUUAACCGAAAAGUCAGGGGUUUUCUGUUAAAACAACAAAAAGAUCCAGCUGACUUAAAUAUGGAUGACGGGUUGAUUACCUGAAAUGUCAGGGUUUUAUUGAGAAAUUCAAAAACACGGUUUGGCUAUGACUUAAACGUGUACUGCGGGUUAAUUUACACAAAACACAGGGAUUUUUUUUAAAUGGCAUGACGUUGAGCAGUCACAAGCACUCUGUGCUUUAUUAUUAGGUGUAGAUAUAGACGCGAGGAUAUAUCAAGAUUGUACCGUGAAGAAAAGGAGAAAAGAAUAAAGAAGAGGAAGAAAGAGUACGACAAGGCCCCUUGGAUACAAGGUUUGUGUGUGUUUGUGUGUGCGUGUGUGUGUGCGCGCGCGCGCGCGCGCGCGCGCGCGUGUGUGUGUGUGUGUGUGUGUGUGUGUGUUCAUCAUGUUAUAGGUGGUGAAACACACUAAUGAGCAAGGUAAAACUCACAUCGAUCAAGGUCAGUGGCAUUUGUUCAAGUUUGUAAGGUGACUGUAGGACGCCUAGUUACGUCUGUGAACAAAAAGAGUCAGUACCGGCAAGGUCAGUGGCCAUAGUAGUAGCAGUUGUAGGAUCAACAUUUAGGAGUAUCAAGGUAGACACGAAGAAUGGAUAACUAUCCCAGUUGCACCUACAAACUGAUCCAGAAUUGUUUCCAAGUUUUUUGCAGCAAGUGGAGUAGCCUUGACAGCGACCAAGGUGGCAUUGACAUAUUAUGGUGUCGGUCAUAGGAGAUCUGGUUAUAGUGGUUGAGAAUAAAAUGUUCCGUUUGCCUUUGAUUAAUUAUGCGUUGUCUGUAAUUUGGUAUUCAUGAAAGUCACUAUCACGAUUAAUUGACCAUGUUCUAGAUCUCUACAUCAAAUUUAUUCCUGUUAUCCUCAAUGUUAUAGCUACAUCGAGAUACUUAUUUUUCAUAUGCGAGUAAUUGGUUGAGCUCUCCCAGCAGGACGAAGCAGCAAAGGGAGCAAAAUGUAUACCAAACUGUGGAUGAAUGCCACAAUGGGGUAACUCGGAAAGUUUAACUCAUGCUCUAUGUCUUGCCCAAGGACAACAUACUCCGCGUGCAACUUUUUGUGUAUAUACCAGACGAUGCGCCAUAAACUAAUUUUUGUUACAAAUGGUAACAUAUUAGUAUCAAGAUGACACAAAUUUCCAUUACAAAUAUACAAUAAACCAUUGUAGACCUCAUCGGUGUGAAAAAUUAAUUGGACGAACUAAAGUUUUGCAAUGAGAUGCUGAUGGUAGGCAUCAACAUGGACUUGGAGCUCGACUUGGAGUUGUCGUACUACUAGUAACUUUCUAGAUCGCAUGGAAAACUAUGAAUCCAAACAAGAUAACAGAUACAAUGAUGUAUUAUAUAUGAGCACAGAGAGAGAAAAAAAUAGAAACUUUAAACAUGGCUUCCAACGGGUUCUUCUGGUGUGUUAAGAGCCUUUAGAAGAUGAAACUGGGCUAGCUAUGGCCCUAGCCAUAAAGAACAUGGAAUUAGUGAUAUUACAACCGUGAAGGCUAACACGAAUAAGUUUCUAAGCGCCCCAACUGUGAUCAACACCACGAUCAAAAGUAUCCGCAACCGAAGAUGUAGUUAAAUCUAUCGAUGAUGCUGUCAAAUACCUCAUCUCGCUGAUUGGGAACCGGAGUCACCAUAUACGCCAACAUGAAAACCAGGUCAGCUAUGCAUAUAGAGAAUCUCACCCAGAUAGACUGAAAAAACCGUUGGUCAAUGAGGCUCUCUUUUCUCAGCUGUAUUAUCUCUUUGCGGUGCCUAUUUUAGCGAACUCUUUUUCCAGCUCAAUAAGGUUGUGUUUUCACAACUUUGCUGCAUGUACACCGUAUAUUGUCCCCCGAACACCAAGCCUUCCAAUCCCAAGAACAAAAGGAAAGAGAUAGCAGCCCAAAAAUAGACCAAGUUAUCUUUCCAGCAUUGUCUUUCCUACCAGGAUUCGAAAUCCUUCUUGGCAAGACGAGCUGAAUUAUCUCCCAUAGUCCGAAACUCACAAGAACAUCAAAAAUCCGACGUGAAUGAAUUCAAUAAAGAACAGGUAUAGAUAAAAAAUAAUAAUCAAGUACGAAUAAAAUUGGUAGGGUCUCAGACAAUAUAUUGACAUAUGAGAACGUACAUGACACAUAUCACUGUGGACAUUGUCUAUGGCCUUAUUACAAGCAACAAGAGAAAUUACAUAGGCGUGUGAGUGCGCGUGCGCGCGCACACACACGUGCACACAUGCAUGACAUACAUGGAUUGACUAGAGGUCGCCCCAUAUAGUCAACAAUUUAUUGGAGGUAAACAUUAGCAUAACUUGGCCAUAGAUCGAAGCAAUCCAACAUAUGCCGAUGAAUGGCAUCCAUGUUGGUAGCAAUGCAAGCAUAUCGUUUUAGUACAGUCCUUCCAUCUUCGAAGCCACUCCCAUUUCAUCCAUCUUAGCAACCACUGCGAAAUUAAGAUAUCGAACUCCCAUUAGCUCAUGAGUUAAUUUUGCCAGGGCAGGAGAGUAUAAGAGGUCUUUGUGUAGGAAGUAACAUGCUUGAACUUGUGAGAUGGGACAUGAAGUCAACGAAGUACAUUAAUGAAAAUCGGUGGAAGGUCACAGAUAUGUAUUAGUCCACCAUACGACACAGAUCUUGUAUUUACAAAUAUCAAAGGCAUUGAUUAAAGUGAGUUUAGUGCAUUUACCAGAAUCUUCAAGAAUACAGGGGAAACAACAAGUGUUCUUGCAGGCAAAGUCAGAGCCACCCGCAAAAAUACAAGUAGAACAACAUCCUUUUGCGGCUAAGCUUAUGCAGCAGCCGCAGUCUGCGGUGGUCGAGUUUACGGUGAGGCUCAGGAUGAGCAGGCACAUGAUCACCUUCAAAGUGGUAGUGCUAGUGAGCAUCCUCUUACCCUCCAUUUUCUCUUGUUGAUGUUGCCUGCCUUGGUUACCUAGCUAAGUUUCUUGGUUUUGUGUUGAGAGGUGCUUCUUAAAUGGAUGUUGCUUGCUGCAAUUUAUAGGCAAUUGCAUUACGUUAUGAUAUGUAUAAGGUGCGAGUGGGUGGAAAAUCCUGUCGUAUUCAAUGUGACAGUAUCGACAAUUGAUGACAUUGGUUGGUAACCCGGACAAAUUCAUUCACACGUAUCUUGCGGAGGAAAUGUUGCAUCACCUACCAUAUUCAAUAUUAGGGAGAAAGCCUGAACUACACCAAUAGUGUGCAACGAGGCACAAAAAGCUACCACAAGUAGUGGAGUUCGUAUGAUAUCAGCAAGCUAUAAACAAUAACCAUGGAGGCAAUUAACACUAGCCCGUCAAAGAUGGUGCUAGCAACUUAUGGUGUUCAAUGCAACACCAGAGCAAAUAUGUAUGGACUUUGGUUAGUAAAAUUUCAACAGGCGCUACAUAUAUAUUUUUCUAUACAAAAUUGAUUGGAAGCAAUAGAGUAGGCUAGUUCCUAGGUAGACCUUUAGCAAUGUUCAUUUUGGCCAUGGUGUCGGAGAUCAGAUUAUAAGUAUGACGUACAUGCAACUUGAUCCCUUGUCCUCAUAUUUUAAUUCCCGCAUUCACAAGUUGCACGUACUAAGCACUCCCAAUUAUUACCCUUUUCAUUAUGCAACUAUUUUUAGAAUUUAUUUAUUUUUAAUAUACAAAUGUCAUUUAACAAACAAUCUAUUUUAUUCAGCUAGCGGAGGUCGGGCAAAACCGUUUUUUAUCCAAGUCUAGAAAACCUUGUAUAUUGUUCGGGCAUACAUUUUGCUUUUCUAAGAUAGAACCCCAAGAUAUUAGGCAUUGUGUCAGUUGUAUCAAACUUAUUUCUAUAUGACAUCAAAAUGUUAGAGAUAUUGAUAUGAUGCAAUGCACCGGGAUUAUCCUUAAAAACGAAAAACAAUUAAAAGGAGGAAAACUUGUGCAAAUAGUCCUUACGUGAUAUGGUCCUCAUCAAAAUUACCAAAUUUGGAAUAUGGUGCUUCGAAAAAAGAGUGUUCUCAAAAAGAGGUAUCAUGCCUGGCUUAUCUUGGCUUUCAACCCAAAUGGCCAAGGCGAUGGCCAUAUCCAUGGCAAACAUUGUUUUUCGUUUUCCCAUAUUCAGCACACACAUGCAUCUUGGAACACAAAUCCAACCAACAACCAAUGAUCGUUUCAUUUCUUAGAGGUGCGGGCGAGGACAAUUAAAAACUUGUGAAACAGGUGUACCCGAGGCUUAAUUCACUAUUCGAGUAUACAGAUUGGGUCACUCUGUUUCGAAAUCACAACAAGAAAAUGUUUUGUUGAACAUCCUCUGUUAGAUAAGACUACAAGAUGAUGGUACUUUUGGGUCCUUCACAAAACAAGAAACUAACCAAGAGAUUAGGAUGACUGAUCUGUCCCAUGUAUGUCCUGCAAAUCAGUUGUUGAUAACGUUGCCAUUAUUUAGGAAAAGGCUCCUCACCUGAAUAUAUAUAUGCCACAAACCUUUAUUUAGGAAAAGGCUCCUCACCUGAAUAUAUUUCAAAUGUUUGACAGUUUUACAGGAUCACGCAUAUGCGCGCUCCUUGGGUGCCCCAGAUUUUAGCCUAUGUAUCCAUAUGUAAGGUAAGAUCAGUGCCAAUGUUUUCGAUGGUGUCAAGGGGAGGAUCAUCUACAAGUUAGAACAUCUUGUUCAUGGCACCCCAUAUUAUCCAUACUACAUGUAGAAGAAUUAAGCAUGGGAUAAAUAUAGCCAGAGGGCAUUGCGGUUGAGAAGAGAUCACCAAUUUGGAUGGAGAUUGCGUGCCAUAUCCUUCAAGCAGCAUGACAGGUGAAGAAGAGGUGAUGUCUAUCAUGGGCAGAUGGAGCUGGUGAGGAUUCUUUAUUUUUUGUAGAUUGCAUCUUGUGUUCACUCUGUCCAGGUAGAAGAGCUAGACGAAGAUCUGUAAUCUCUUUCAAGGUGCGGUCCUAUGGAUCCGAAAGCUGGGGUGAUAGGGCAGCAUAUGCCCCCUCUUGAUGAAAGCUGACCCAUUAAGCAACCCUCGCUCGUCAGGAUCCUACAACAGAGAGUUUAACGAGCCAAGCUCUGGCGAGGCAGUUGAGGUUAGUCGGUUACGCAAGGCAAGUUCGACCUGCAUGAUGGCAUCUUUGGUGGGAUCGGUGAGAGAAAAUGGUAGGGAAAACAUUGGCUAAUGGUUCAGGGUUGAUCCACCUGUCAAGCCAAAACAAACAAUCUCAAACAGUGGCUAAUGGUUCAGGUCUCCCAAAAAGAAUCUUUAGUUUGUUAGAUAAUAUUAUUUGCAUGGUUGUUUCCUAGUGUAUCAUAUAUGGACUCUUGGGCCGAUAGGAUCUUCUUUGUAAACGUAUGUACUUCAAAACAUGAGGAAACCAUAUCUCGUUUAGUCCUAGCCGUAAAAUUAAGAUCUGAUGGUUAUUUAUCAGCACUUGUCAAGGAUUAACGUGGAGGCUCGUAUGGUGCCUCCAAUUAAUAAAUAUAUGAUUUUGACAUGGGCUUCUUAUAUAUUUCGCUAUAAAAAUUGAUUGGAACAAAUACGUACGCCUAGUUCGCUAGGAUAGGCCUUUAGCAAGGUUUAUCAUCUCCACUGUGUUGAAGAUUAGAUGAUAAGUAUGAACUAAAUGCAACUUGAUCCCAAGUCUUCAUAUUCCAAUCCCCAAAUUUACAACUUGCUCGUACUAUGCACAUCCUAUUAGUAACUUUUUUUGCUAGGAACACUUUUUAUAAUUUAUUUGUUUGUGAAUACACAAAUGUCAUUUUAACAGACUAUCUAUUUUUAUUCAGCUAGCAGAGGUUGGGCACAAUCAAUUUUUAUCCAAGACUAAAAAACCAUGUACAUUUUCGGGGGGCAUACAUCUUGUGUUUCUAAGAGACAACACUAAGAUAUUACGCAUUGUGCCUCUUGUAUCAAACUUGUUUUUGUAUGUCAUAGAAAUAAUAGAGAUAGUGAUAUGAUUCACUGCACAUGGAUUAUCCUAAAAUAGAGAAACAAUUGAAAAACGGGAAACUUGCACAAAGAGUCCUUUUACAUGAUAUGGUUUCCAUAAAAAAUACCAAAAUUGAAAUAUGACGCUUUGAAAAAAAAGUGUUCUCGGAAAGAGGUAUCAUGUAUGCUUAUCUUGGCUUUCAACCCAAAAUACCAAGGCGAUAGUCAUAUCCAUGGGAAACAUGGUGGUAUUUUGCCCAUAUUCGGCACACAUGUGCAUCUUGGCAUGGCUUUAUAAUGACACCUUAUUCACAUUGAUAAGAGCCUGUAUGCAAUAGCUACGACUCUCCUAAAACAAUGUCGACCGAUGAAAUCUCUGGACCAAAAGUUGGGCAGAAAACGCCAGACCAGUGAAUGGGGUGCCAAAACAUGGAAAAGGGCGGGAAAUUGCCAAAAUUCUACCGUUGGUUGUAGCCUCACUGAAACCGACAUGUAAUUUGACCGUCGAAUAUUCAGACAACCUGGAACCCUAGCAUGCUACCAAGGCACCGACAUAAUGCAUGUAUUCUGUGCAUGCGAUACUGGCGCCCCCGCGACCAGAGGAAGGAAAAAACACCUAGACGGUACGCUAGUGCCUAAAUUUGGGCGGGAGAACACCAGAGUGGUGAGUUGGCCACCAAAAGAUGAAAAAGGGCUAGUCUUUGGCAGGUAUAAACAAGGGGGGAGGGGGGCUGGUAUUUCGGGUGCCAGAUCUUGUGAAGGUAAACAAGGAGAGAGACAUAAGAUGGAUACAAGCUGCUCCUCUGCCUUUGUUUGACUUGACCCAGCUGAAACAUAAUGUCGUUUCCAAAGAAACUUCAAUUACUGUUGAGAAGAGACAAAACCAAAUACUGCCAUUACACAAUAUAUAUCCGUCGUAAGAUAUUGAUUAAGCUAACCAAGCUGGACAUUGCCUACAGUACACCUAGAUAACUUAAUUUAUGCUAGCGACCGUGACGGCGAUCACCAAUUGAUUGUAUUUAGUGACUAAUAACCUGCCAUUGGUAUAUUUCAAAUUUUAUAUAUCAUUUGAUCCUCACCAUCGUCGGACAUGAUCGAGUCACAGAGAUAGGUACAAGUAGCUGUUCUGAGAAUAAGAAGAAAAAAUCGAUGCACUGACAAUCUCCAAUGUGUGUCCAUCUCAACCAUUUUAAAUUAAUUAGUACAAGUCCAAAUUAUCUGCUCUCCGGUAGAAACUAAAUUAGUCACGUUUGUUACGCUAGAGUUUGGUGCCAACGAACAAACCUAGCAAAUCAAUUGCACGUGGUCUCCUUAAACUACAAACAACGACAAUGAUGGAGGAGCCACUAAAUAGAAGGCCGGGCAGCGAUAGAAUGUACUUACUCAAUGGUAGCUAAUUUUUGUUGGUAAAUUGCGAGCGUUCUCCAGGGACGAACUCAAGAAGCAGUUUUUCUUGAUGAACGGACAAUAAGCUCCACCAUGCAAAAAUAUAAGGUUUCAGUUUGAGGAUCCAGCAAUAGUUCAUCAUGGAGCCUGAUGCACCAAGGUCAUAAUGCUGGUCUGGUGUGCAAAAUCCAAAGUAUGCAUCAGUUCUGCUCUCACACAUUGCGGAUCGUUCGAAUAUGCCAUCCAGAUCUUGUCUGUCCUGGAUAUACUUUUUGCUCGGAAUUAUAAAACUGUUCCUUUAUAAACUACUUACAGAAGCAUGAUUGUGGCUGUUGAACAUUUACUUUCCUUGAGUCGAAAAGACGCGCUAAUUUAGGGAAGCAGCAUGUGGGCACUGGAUAUCAUGUGCAUGCAUGUUCUUAACCCCCAAGCCACUCAGAUUAUUUGGCCCCAGAGCAAACCGCUUGGUUUGACCAGAAAAAAGACCUUCUACCCUUAUCCAUAGCAUAUGAAUGGAGAAGCAGAGCAUGAGCAGUGGGCAAACUAUCUAUCCUCUGAGAUGGACCAAGGAUAGAUAGUCGUUAGUGGCUCUAUAAAGAGGCCGGAUUCUGUCACACACAUAAGGGCUAAUUUGGCAGCAAGGUAAACGAAACCAGGGUAGCAAACCUUCGGGAGAUUAUACGCUAUUACUCACCUUCGGGAGAUUAUACGUUUCAAUCACUAUAUAUAUGACGUGCAAAAUGCAGCACACAUCCAUCACCAUCAGUUGAACUCGUGUCACACAAACUCCAUAGUCCAUACUUCUCUAGGUGUCACCUCACUAUGCUGGAUACCUCUCCAAGUCUAUAUGUGAUGGACGGACGAACCAAGGCUCACUGGGCUUAAACACCUCCGGAAUGACAACCUCUACUACAACUCAACUCUGGAUUUUCGUACCUGUGCGUUUCACCAAACCAGUUGAUUAUCACCCCACUCUGCUCUUCUCUUCUCCAUGUAGAGUAGACCAGAGUAGGGACACCGAACACAUCAAUUACCAUCACAUACUAAAGUAUAUUCUAACAGCUGCUACAACUGAAUUAAUCAAUCAUGCCCAAACACCCAUCCAUACCCACUCACUGCCAUUAUGUCCGGAAAUUGUCCAGCUUUGAACACACAAAUAAAAUAGAAUAGUCUCUAGUCUCCAUGCACUUUUACUGUUUGAUUGAUCACAAAACUUACCUCAACAGUAAGAAAAUACACAAAAUUUGUUUUUCUCUGAUAUAUGAGAUCACAGAUUUUAGCCUUUUGGCGGUUCUAUUGCCAUCAAUGGCAUUUACUAUAUUCACGGAUGCAAUUUGCUAACAAACCUUGCUAUCUAAUCUCCCUUGCACCUGCUCACGUCAAGAUUUAAACUGGAUGAGAUAAUGUAUAUGACUAUGCGUGACAUCAAGUUUAAGCAUUUAUGGUUCAGAUUUUACAUCAAGUAUAUCGUAGUGUAGUGCAGCAAGCUUAAUUCUCCAAAUCACCCAUAGCAUCGAAUGAAUGAAGAACCAAAUCGAUAAUUACAUCAGAGCUAGUCACUGCAAUAUCAGCAUAUUGUUAAUUGUUAAUGUGUAUAUCGAUCAACUUUGUUUCUUUUCAAGUAAUCUAACACAUUCAUCAAGGGAUUAAAUUGUAACCGAAUAGUACCAUUAGAAGUACAAAUAAGUUAACCAUUUCACAUUUGAUUUUCCACUAUUACUAAUUUGAUAUUUUAUCUUUUACAUUCGAAUCUUCUGAGGUUUGUGUACAUUUUGUGUUGUUUAAGACCGUCGGUCGACUGUAGAGUAGCCGCGCACCUCGUUCUUAUCCAUCUAAUCACAUGCACUAUGGUCUUUGCGUGGCAUUAAUUAAUUAGCAGUUGAUGCAACUGCUCCAUUAUUAACAAUAAAAAGGCAUCCUCGUUUAGCACGCAGGUCUUGUUUGAAUGCAUAAUCAUUUGCAUAAUAAUUAGGUAAGGCCGCUAGUUGGUGAGAAAUGCAUUGUACUUUCCUUGAGAUUAUCUGUCGACACCAAGCUGGUCAAUGGCGUGCAAUUUGAGAGCACUACCCUAUUCUCUGCGUUGUUAUAAAAAAAAUUAAGGCAAAGGGACUGUGUACCCUUUGUAUCGAAUCGACAUGUACCUAGGAUAAAAAUAAAUUAAUUGAUUCAUAAUCUAGUACAACAAAGGUAAAAUAAUUUAAAAAACACUCCCUAAAAUAAGUAUAAGAAUGUGACAAUCGCUCCCUAAAAACGGAAUGUAACAAUCACUCCUGGAAGGGGAAACAGCAAGAUACCGCAAUGCCACUCGAGCACUUUGACGUGUAGUACUGGGUAUGGGGAGAUUAUGUUGGGAUAAGAUAGUGGGUUGCCGGAGCCGGAGACCUCACCGGAGAGUUGGAAUUCCCCAUGUGGAUUCGGCUGUUGGCGAAGAAGUUGGUAAAGUGAAUGAGAGGGCGAUAGCGAACGGACACUGCACAUUCACCGGAUCUGGGCAAGGAAAGGGCACAAAUGAACAACACCUUCUUUUUCUGUUUUUAAAACGCCAAAAAGGUGUGGGUGUGUUGUGAAUCAAACUAGCGACCUACUGCUUCAACGUAAGCUGCAGUACCCACUUACUUACUAAUUUUUUUUUCACAUUUUCCUCUUUCUACUUUUCUUUUUUCUUGUUUCUGGUUCGAUGAGUUUUUUUUUCCAAUUUUGUGAACUAUUUUUUCAAAAUCAAUGAACUUUUUUCAAUUUGUAAACUUUUUUUUUCUAAAAUUGACAAAAAAUUGUAAUCAAUUGUUUUACUAUUUUUUUCCAAAUUUUGUGAUACUUUGGAAAAGUCAACUAGUCAGUUAGUGAACCGAUCAACUGGCACCAGUCAACCAGUGAGAGAUCAGAAGCGUAGGGAACGCUCAACCCGGUUGCAUUUUGCUGCGCUGCAGCGAGAUGACAUUUUCAGCCGCAACCCAUGAAUGAAGGUAGUGAGCGCCAGGGAUUCUUUUCGGUGCUUGAAGUGCCGAAUAGGAGCUCCCAUGAAUUAGAUAGCUUUCGGAUGCAAAUUCCGUUUGCAGAUCAGCGAGGCCACAAGCUUUCCAGUUGUUUUUUCCUUAAUCCAGUUCCAUCUAUGUAAAACUGCGAACGACGGAUCAACAUGCACAUGGUCAGCUCGAUCGUUACGCCAAAUGAAUACAAAUUAUGCACACACACUCCGACGUGGCGAGCGAGAGCGACUUUUUUUUUGGCGAGGGAGCGAGAGCGACUUUGUUGAGAGGACCAAACUACCAUGAUUUUAUACCAUUCUUCGUAUGAUAUUAAAACUGGCUAUUGGCUGUUUGUCUCUUGUAGACGUAUUUAAUCAGCUAUGUCAUACAAUACAAAUUAGGUGUUCCGUCGCCAUCACAUUCAACUGCGGGUAUUCUGCUCUCGCAGAUGACUGGCUCUUUCAUAAAGAAUGUUUAAGGAAGUCCUAAUGAUUGGGAAAGCCCUCCAGAUAGAAUGGUUGAAGUACUCUUCAACUUCACUGUAUGUAUUACUUUUAGCUUUGGAUGAGCUUAAUCUCCCAGGAAUAAUCUUGAAUUACCAAAAAUUCUGGAUCAUUUACGAGUAUUAGUCUAGUUCAUAUGGAAUUUUGUAUCCAAGCUAGUUGUGUACGUAUAAGUAUGAUGGUUGAUCAUGUACACGUGGUUUUUUGAGUUUGGGUUCCAAGGUGUGUCCUAAUGCUAGUAGUAAUAGGAAGUACGAGGUACGAGUAGGAUUAGUUGGUCUAUAGGUUGGCCACUUUGUGUGUGUGUGUGUGUGUGUGUGUGUGUGUGUGUGUGUGUGUGUGUGUGUGUGUUCAUCAUGUUAUAGGUGGUGAAGCACACUAAUGAGCAAGGUAAAACUCACAUCGAUCAAGGUCAGUGGCAUUUGUUGAAGUUUGUAAGGUGACUGUAGGACACCUAGGUACGUCUAUGAAGAAAAAGAGUCAGUACCGGCAAGCUCAGUGGCCAUAGUAAUAGCAGUUGUAGGAUGAACAUUUAGGAGUAUCAAGGGAGACUCGAAGAAUGGAUAGCUAGCCCAGUUGCACCUACAAACUGAUCCAGAAUUGUUUCCAAGUUUUUUGCAGCAAGUGGAGUAGCCUUGACAGCGACCAAGGUGGCAUUGACAUAUUAUGGGGUCGGGCAUAGGAGAUCUGGUUAUAGUGGUCGAGAAUAAAAUGUUCCGUUUGCCUUUGAUUAAUUAUGCGCUGUCUGUAAUUUGGUAUUCAUGAAAGUCACUAUCAUGAUUAAUUGACCAUGUUCUAGAUCUCUAAAUCAAAUUUAUUCCUGUUAACCUCAAUGUUAUAGCUACAUCGAGAUACUUAUUUUUCAUAUGCGAGUAAUUGGUUGAGCUCUCCCAGCAGGACGAAGCAGCAAAGGGAGCAAACUGUAUACCAAACUAUGGAUGAAUGCCCCAAUGGGGUAACUCGGAAAGUUUCACUCAUGCUCUAUGUCUUGCCCAAGGACAACAUACUCCGCGUGCAACUUUUUGUGUAUAUACCAGACGAUGCGCCAUCGGGUAAAUACUUUUUUUUACAAAUGGUAACAUAUUAGUAUCAAGAUGAUACAAAUUGCCAUUACAAAGAUACAAUAAACCAUUGUAGACCUCAUCGGUGUGAAAAAUUAAUUGGACGAACUAAAGUUUUGCAAUGAGAUGCUGAUGGUAGGCAUCAACAUGGACUUGGAGCUCGACUUGGAGUUGUGGUACUACUAGUAACUUUCCAGAUUGCAUGGAAAACUAUGAAUCCAAACAAGAUAACAGAUACAGUGAUGUAUAAUAUAUCAGCACAGAGAGAAGAAAAAAAAAUAGAAACUUUAAACAUGGCUACCAACGGGUUCUUCUGGUGUGUUAAGAGCCUUCGGAAGAUGAAACUGGGCUAGCUAUGGCCCUAGCCAUAAAGAACAUGGAAUUAGUGAUAGCACAACCGUGAAGGCUAACACAAAUAAGUUUCUAAGCGCCCCAACUGUGAUCAACACCAUGAUCAAAACUAUCCGCAACCGAAGAUGUAGUUAAAUCUAUCGAUGAUCCUGCCAAAUACCUCAUCUCGCUGAUUGGGAACCGGAGUCACCAUAUACGCCAGCAUGAAAACCAGGUCAGCUAUGCAUAUAGAGAAUCUCACCCAGAUAGACUGAAAAAACCGUUGGUCAAUGAGGCUCUAUUUUCUCAGCUGUAUUAUCUCUUUGUGGUGCCUAUUUUAGAGAACUCUUUGUCCAGCUCAAUAAUGUUGUGUUUUCACAGUUUUGCUGCAUGUACACUGUAUACUGUCCCCCGAACACCAAGCCUUCCAAUCCCAAGAACAAAAGGAAAGAGAUAGCAGCCCAAAAAUAGACCAAGUUAUCUUUCCAGCAUUGUCUUUCCUACCAGGAUUCGAAAUCCUUCUUGGCAAGACGAGCUGAAUUAUCUCCCACAGUCCGAAACUCACAAGAACAUCAAAAAUCCGACGUGAAUGAAUUCAAUAAAGAGCAGGUAUAGAUAAAAAAUAAUAAUCAAGUACGAAUAAAAUUGGUAGGGUCUCAGACAAUAUAUAGACCUAUUAGAACGUACAUGACACAUAUCACUGUGGACAUUGUCUAUGGCCUUAUUACAACACUAGUAGAAAACGAGCCUAUUGUCCCGGUUCAUAAGGGCUUUUUGUCCCGGUUCCAGAACCGGGACUAAAGGGUCGUUACUAAUGCCCUGACCCUUUAGUCCCGGUUCUAACCAGAACCGGGACAAAUGGGCCUCCACAUGGCCUGCGCGCUGAGCCCAGGCAGGAGGGCCUUUGGUCCCGGUUGGUGGCACCAACCGCGACCAAUAGGCCUCCACGCGUCAGCAUUUCUGUGGCUGGGUUUUUUGUUUUUUUUGAAAGGGGGGGGGGUGGGGGUUUUGGGGGGUUAAUUUAGGUAUUUCAUAUAUUGUGUUAGAUAGCUAAUUAAUAGAGAGAAGUGUCCUCUCUUAUGUCCGUGCUUGGUCGACGCUACGUAUACUAUACAUACGUAUAGAGAGGACUAGACACGCUAGCUAGCUAGUAAGCAGACGAAGGAAACAGAAAAUCGUCAUGAACAUAUAUGCAUACAGAGAGAAGUGAUAUCGACCACCUCUCCUUCUCCGAGAGAUUGGUUGAACAACAAGUUCUCGUAUAUCUAUCGUCCGACACUACCGGCUACAUAUAUACAAUAAUUAUCUCUUGCAAAUAUAAUCUCCUACAUUAUGGACGCAUGGUCCACAUAGUAUUCUCCGUCUUCAGCGAUCACGUGGUCAAGAAAGAAUGCCGCCAAUUCCUCUUGAAUUGCUCGCAUGCGAUCUGGUGCUAGGAGUUGAUUCCGCAUCCGAAACAUCUAAUUUGAAGAAGGGGGUCAAUACAUAUAUAUAUAAAUGAAUGAAACUCAACACAAAUGAUGGUAAUAAAAUAAAAUUGUGAAUAUUGUUAUUUACGCACUUCAUAUUGUUCGUCAGUGUACCCGCCCCGCUCACAGGUCGUGUGGCGGAUGGACUUGCAGACGUAGUAUCCACAGAAAUCAUUCCCUUGUUCCUGCCACAACCACUUUACAAGAAAUAGAGGUCAAUCAAACUCAUAAGCAAGAAUGCCAAAUGGUAUUGAUGAAACUAGCGCUUGAAUCACUAGGAGAUGCGCGGAACAUGCUACUAUAGUACUUACUUUCGGGUGUCUAAUUUGCAGCUCCUUCGGCAGUCCCGGAGCUUUUUGUGGUGAAUUUUCUCCAAACUCUGCCGGACAAAGAAAACAAUUAGUUGAUAUCAGGAAAUGAACAAAGUUGCUGAUAUGGUGGAUAAUGAUCGAUUUAACGUACUUCUUGAGGAUUUCAGUCAUGUCCGCAUACUCCUGGGGAUCUUUUCAUCUAGAGUCCAAGAUAGUUACUACUCCCUUCUCAAGCAUAAUCUCUAGGAGAAUAUAGUGGAAACUGCGCACGCAUGCAUAACUCAUCAAUUACAUUACUAUAACCUGGACUAAUAUAUAAGGGAAACCGAAUAUGCACAAGACAGUAACACUCACUUGAAGUUGUAAGGAAAGAGUAUUAUAUCUUUGUGUUCAUUUAUUUUGAAUGAUCGUAGCAAGUUGGCCUCGGUUUCUUCGGGCCUUUUGUCAACCUCAGUUGCAUCUAUGAGAUAUGUGUUAACGAACCCAAUAUCACCGAUUUGUCUUUUCUUCAAUUCGGCGAUCUUCAAUCUGCAUAAUAUAGUGAGCAUAAUUAUAAAUACAUGCAAUGAAAGAGCUGAGCUAUAUAGAGAGACUUAAUGACAGAAGUAGUAGUACUUACAGACAGUAGCAGGUGACCGUUGUUUUAUUGAGGGCCAAUUGUUGAAAAACUGAUAGAACUCCUCAAAUGGAAUAGGCAACAGUUCAAUUCCAACGAGGUCAUGCUCCGGUUUAACUCUCGCAUACAAAGUACUCCUCCCCCCAGACUCUCUGCAGAUUUUCAAGUACCAAUCAUGCAAUCUUCGCAUCAUCGUUGAUAGAGAUUUUUCAUCUUUGACGAGAGGCUUCCCGUACUCGUAUCUGUGUAUCUGCACAUCCAUGGGAUCAUAAUGUACUUCGUCGGGCAGGUAAUCGUCAAGAUUGCUAUAACCGGGCACCAUCCUCGGAUCGACGAUGUCGCUAGGCACCUUGAGCGGGGGGCACGAUUGCUUCGCUUGUUCGCCGAGUUGGGCAAUUUGUUUCCCAGCUGCUUGUCAUUCUUUCAGCCUUUGAUCACUUACUGUACUUCCCGACCGCUCUGCUUCGGCCCAUGUCUUUGCAAUAAUGCGCUCAUAGUUGCCUUUCGGCGGAGACUUGGGUGGUUUUGCCAGGGCAGCCAGAGUGCGGUUCACUUUCACCGGAUCUACCUUCUCCUUCGGAGGUAGAUGUCUCUUUGCUUUCAACGCUUGAAACCAGUCAUCCACCUCGGCUCGCGCGAUCCUCGCGUUCUCCUCUGGGGUCCUCUCGUAUGGUAACUUCUCUGAAGUCUUCAGAGAAGGACCGAAUCUGCAUGUCCUCCCGCCUCUGGCUGUACUGCUAGACGCCGGCCGAACAGACGGAGCGGCUUUCUUCUUUACUUGCUUACGAGGCGAAGGAGAAGGACUACGACGCAGCGGAGUAGCUGCCGGAGCGGCGGCGGGUCUCUUCCGCCCUUGCUGACGAGGCGGAGAAGGAGGAGGCUGGCUGCUCGGGCGCGCCGGCGCAGGAGGAGAAGGAGGCGGAGUGCCGCCACGCGCCAGAGAAGGAGCCGGCCGAGGGCCCUGAUCGUCACUCGUCGGAGGAGGAGGCGGUGGAGGAGGCGGAGUGCCAUGACUCACCGGAGGAGGAGGAGGAGGCGGAGGCGUCCAGUCGGAAGGUUGAUGAGCUCCUUCCGCCAUAGGCAUGGAGUCUUCAGAGAAGAACCCAGCCGAGUCUCCCCUUCUCCGGUAGGGUGGUCAAGCUGGAGGUCCUCAAAUCCCCCCGUUAUUUCAUCCACCAUCACCUUAGCAUAUCCUUCUGGAAUCGGCCGGCAGUGAAAAGUUGCGCUGGGUUCAUUAGGAAAAAUAGAGCCAACAGCCGCCUUGACCUUCAUAUUAAUCCAUUGCGUCAUAAGGUGGCAAUUUUGAGCCUCCGUGAUAGCAUCCACGGGAUAGCUGGCAGGAGCCGUCAAGACAAGCUCCGGCUGAAGCAGCUCAGUGGAAGCCACGCUGCUUCUCCGCUGAGAUGGCGGGGUAGCUUCAGGGGAAGCUUCGGCAAGUCGUUUGCUGCGAUUUGCUUCUCGUUCCUCUAUCGCUUGUACCCUUGUGUGCAGCGCCUGAAGUUCGGUCUGCUGCACUUUUUUCCUCCUCUCGUGGCUUUUGUAACCGCUUGCGUCCGGAAACCCAGCCUUCCACGGAAUGGAGCCUGGCGUGCCUCGUGUCCGUCGAGGGUGCUCAGGAUUUCCGAGGGCCUUUGUGAGCUCGUCGUUCUCUCUGUCUGGAAGGAACGUCCCUUUCUGCGCUGCAGCGAUAUAGUACCGAAGCUUCUUCAAGGGUAUGUCAAGUUGCUCGUCCGUCCAAAUGCACUUCCCUGUUACAGGGUCCAAGGUUCCGCCAGCCCCGAAGAACCAAGUCCGGCAACGGUCUGGCCAGCUCAUUGUCUCUGGUUCGAUCCCUUUUGCAACCAGAUCAUUCUCAGCCUUGGCCCACUUAGGCCGGGCUACGAGGUAGCCACCUGACCCGUGCGAUGGUGAAGCUUCUUCUUCGCAGCAUUUUUCUUGUUUGUCGCCGACAUCUUCUUACUCUUUUCCGAUGUCUUGUGGGCCACAAAUGGAGGCCAGUCAUCUCUGAUCUUCUCAUAUAUGCCCUUGAAUUCUGGUGUCUCUUUUUUCUCGACAAACCUAUUCAGGUCUUUCUUCGACCUCCUGAAUAGGUCUACCAUCCUCUUAAGAGCAAAAGACUUGAUUAAUUCCUCUUUAACUGGCUUCUCCGGAUCAUCCUCUGGCGGUAGGGUGAAAUUUGUCUUCAGCUCAGUCCAAAGAUCAUUUUUCUGCAUAUCAUUGACGUAAGACACCUCAGGGUCUUCUGUAGCCGGCUUGAACCAUUGCUGGAUGCUGAUCAGGAUCUUGUCCCUAACCAGAACCCCGCACUGAGCAACAAAUGCCUUCUUUGUUUGGAUGGGUUCAAUAGGUUGGCCGUCGGGCGCGAUUGCUAUGAUCUCAAACCUUUCAUCCGAGCUCAACUUUUUCUUCGGGCCUCAUCUCUUUACCUCAGUUGUGCUCGAUCCGGAGGGCUAGAAAAAAGAGCAAAGACUUAAUUAAUAUGUGUACAUACCAAAACAAUGAAUGCAUCAAUUAGCUAGUCAGCACAGGCUUAACUAAUAUAUAUACCUGGCCGGACUCGGUUUGAUCACCGGAGCCGUCAUCACGGUCUCCUUCUUGCACCGGCAUUGGGUCACCGGAGCCGUCCUCACGUUCUUCUUCUUGCACCGGCAUUAGGUCACCAGAGCCAGCUUCUUCACCCUCUCCUUCCAGACCAUCGGUGUCGUUGAGAAACAACGAGACGACAUCACUUCCUUGUGCGAUUAUGUCCCUCAACAUCGCUUCGUCUGCUUCGUCUCGGACGGUGUCCAUAGUUUCUACAAAUAUUUACAACAUGGCAAUUAUUAUUCAAACAUGACAAAUGGAUAUAUUAGUGGCAAACGUAGAACUAGCUAGCUAAUCAUAGUAAGGAAUCAUAUAUAUUAAUUAGUGGCCUCGAAGGUGCUUCUCUAGGGUUUGGGGUGGCCUCGACAACGCUUCAAGGGUUUGGGGUGGCCUCGAGAACGCUUCAAGGAGGGGGUAAUAUCGACCCCCCACCCCACGUGUUGAAGCUAUUGGGAGGGGUAUAUCGACAACGAUGACACUACAUCUAUGUCCCUCGACGACCCUCGUUCCCGAUAAAAAAAAAGAGGAAGAAGAAGAAAAAAAGAGGAGAAGAACUCCUCUAUUCUUUCUUCCCCUCUUUUUUUUUCUUCUUCCUCUUCUUUUUUUAUCCUCUUCGUCCUCUCAUGUUAGAGAGGAUCGCCGAGGGGUCAGGAGGUUGCCUAGUGUUAAAGGAUUCAACAAAACCAUGUCUUCAUCAUUAGGCGAAAGUAACAGGUGCAUGAUGGUACGAAGCUCUCCAAAGUUAUUUUGGAACGGAGUCCCAGAUAGGAUAAUUCGCUUUUUGGUACAAAGUUCAGCAAGAACCUUCCAAAUAUCGUUAUUUGGAAGGCCUUUGCUGAAAUUCAUAAAAAAAGGCAAAUUAUCCUAUCCGGGACACCAUUCCAAAAUAACUUUGGAGGACUUCGUACCAUCAUGCCCUGGUUACUUCUGGCUAAUGAUCAAGACAUGGAUUUCUUCAAUACUUUGACACUAGGAAACCUCUCUCGACCCCUCGGCGAUCCUCGACCCCUCGAACCCUCGACGACCCUGGAACCCUCGACCCCUAGACGACCCUGGAACCCUCGACCCUUGAUCCCUAGACCCUAUAGAACCCUCGAACCCUCGACCCUGAAACCCUCGACCCUNNNNNNNNNNNNNNNNNNNNNNNNNNNNNNNNNNNNNNNNNNNNNNNNNNNNNNNNNNNNNNNNNNNNNNNNNNNNNNNNNNNNNNNNNNNNNNNNNNNNNNNNNNNNNNNNNNNNNNNNNNNNNNNNNNNNNNNNNNNNNNNNNNNNNNNNNNNNNNNNNNNNNNNNNNNNNNNNNNNNNNNNNNNNNNNNNNNNNNNNNNNNNNNNNNNNNNNNNNNNNNNNNNNNNNNNNNNNNNNNNNNNNNNAGUUCCCGACCCUCGACCCCUCGGCGAUCCUCGACACCCUCGUUCCCGAUAAAAAUUAAGAAGAAGAAGAAGAAAAAAAAAGAAGAAAAACAGGAGAAGAUCGAAGAAAAAAAAGAAGAAAAAGAAGAGGAGAAGAAGAAAGGAAUAGUGGAGAGGAAGAGAAAAUAGAAUAUUCUAUUUUCUCUUCCUCUCCACUAUUCCUUUCUUGUUCUCCUCUUCUUUUUCUUCUUUUUUCUUCUUCUUAUUUAUUUCUCCUCUUCUUUUCCUCUCCUCUUCUUCUUUCUUUCCUCUUCUUAUUUUCUUCUUUCCUAUCCUUCUUUUUCUAAAAUUGUAACUUUUGCAUAUAUAAAACUUUUCUAAAAUUGUAACUUUCUAUAUAUGAACAAAAAACUUUCUAUGAACAAAAAAACAUUUUUAACAUAUAUAUUUAGCAAAUUCUAGCCACAUACAUCACACGCACAUAUACAUUAUAGCCACAUACACAUAUACAUCACAUAUGAACAAAAAAAAUAAACUAAUAAAAAUAAAAAAACUUAUUGCAACAUAUGAACAGAAACAUAUAGCCACAUACAUACACAUACAUUAUAUAUAUAUAUGAAAAAAAUUAAACUAAUAAAAAAAGUGGUGGCGCCGGCGGGGCAGAGGGGCAUGGCGGCAGCGGUGGCGCCGGCGGGGCAGGGCAGGGGCGGCUAGGCGGCGCGCGGCGNNNNNNNNNNNNNNNNNNNNNNNNNNNNNNNNNNNNNNNNNNNNNNNNNNNNNNNNNNNNNNNNNNNNNNNNNNNNNNNNNNNNNNNNNNNNNNNNNNNNNNNNNNNNNNNNNNNNNNNNNNNNNNNNNNNNNNNNNNNNNNNNNNNNNNNNNNNNNNNNNNNNNNNNNNNNNNNNNNNNNNNNNNNNNNNNNNNNNNNNNNNNNNNNNNNNNNNNNNNNNNNNNNNNNNNNNNNNNNNNNNNNNNNNNNNNNNNNNNNNNNNNNNNNNNNNNNNNNNNNNNNNNNNNNNNNNNNNNNNNNNNNNNNNNNNNNNNNNNNNNNNNNNNNNNNNNNNNNNNNNNNNNNNNNNNNNNNNNNNNNNNNNNNNNNNNNNNNNNNNNNNNNNNNNNNNNNNNNNNNNNNNNNNNNNNNNNNNNNNNNNNNNNNNNNNNNNNNNNNNNNNNNNNNNNNNNNNNNNNNNNNNNNNNNNNNNNNNNNNNNNNNNNNNNNNNNNNNNNNNNNNNNNNNNNNNNNNNNNNNNNNNNNNNNNNNNNNNGGACCAACGGCGUUGUGCUGCCCCGCGCCCAAAUGUUUAGUCCCACCUCGCUAGUUGAGAGGGAGCCGCACCUGUUUAUAAGGUGCGGUGCGCCUUCCCUCUCGAGCUCCUCUCUAAAGAAGGCUUUCGGGUCUAACCGUGCAAUGUGUGCCUGUGGGCCUACUGGGCCUCCCGCGGGCCUGAAUCCUGGCCCAUGGUAGGGUUUCUAGUCGUAUUCAGGCCGUGGGUGCCCAGUAGGUGGCACUUUUUUUGUUUUUUUGUUUUUUUGUUUCUACUUACAACAAAAUACUUAUUGUUGCUAUAUUUAAUUUUUUCCAUUUUUUGUUUCGUUUUCUGCAUUAUUUAUUUUCUUUUGUUUCUUGUUUUAUUUUUUAAAUCUUUUUGCUUUCUGUUAGUGCCAUUAGUUUUAAAAUUUGAAUAGUUUAAAUUUGGGUGAAUCACUAGUUUAUGAAUAACUUUAAUAUAAAAUUGAUUUUUGAGUCAAUCUUUUUCCUGCUAUUGAAUAUUACUGUUUUUUAUUAUUGUACUCAAUUUGGUAAUUUUAGUUAGUCAUAACAAAUAUUAUAGGCUUUUUUUUGCUAUUUAUUUUUUCAUUUCUACUUAGAACUAAAUACUUAUAGUUUUUUAGUGAUUUUUUUUCUUUUAGGUAACAAAAAUUAUGAACUUCUCUAUUAGUGAACAUAGAUGCACUUAUAGAGAAAAUUAAACCUAAAUUCAUAAUCAAUUUCUAUGAAUUUCGGAGAAAUUCAUUAUGAAUUUUGGUCCAAUUUCCUCUAUAGGUGCAUCUAUUUGCACUUUGAGAGGAGCUCAACAACGCAGAGAGGGAUGGGCUUAUAAACAGGUGUGGGCGCCCUUCGGUUGGCGAGGUGGGACUAAACUACGGGUGCAACGAGGGCCAACCCUUUAGUCCCGGUUUGUGUCACAAACCGGGACUAAUGGUCAUGGGCCAGGGGCGAGCCCUAUUUUUUUUCAGUUUUCAAAUGAACUCUGAAAAAGUUGGCAUAGCAUACUCGUCUGUUACAAAUUUGGCAUGGUAUCAUCAUAAUAGUUGCGUGAGAAAGUCUUCACUUUUUCUUCGCUUGUGUCAUUUGCUUAUUGCGCCAUAACCAUGGAUAAUCUUCAACAUUUAUCAGGAUGCUUGGGUCACCCUUGACAUUGAAGGGAGGAAUUUCAUGAAACCUUUCAUAAUCUUCAGACAUGUCUGUCUUGCCCUCCACUCCCAGGAUGUCCCUUUUUCCUGAAAGAACUAUGUGGCGCUUUGGCUCAUCGUAUGAUGUAUUCGUUUCCUUAUCUUUUCUUUUUCUCGGUCUGGUAGACAUGUCCUUCACAUAGAUAACCUGUGCCACAUCAUUGGCUAGGACGAAUGGUUCGUCAGUGUACCCAAGAUUUUUCAGAUCGACUGUUGUCAUUCCGUACUGUGGGUCUACAUGUACCCCGCCUCCUGACAGAUUGACCCAUUUGCACUUAAACAAAGGGACCUUAAAAUCUUGUCCGUAGUCAAGUUCUCAUAUGUCCACUAUGUAACCAUAAUAUGUGUCCUUUCCCUUCUCGGUUGUUGCAUCAAAGCGGACACCGCUGUUUUGGUUGGUGCUCUUUUGAUCUUGGUUAAAAUGUAUUCCCAUUUAUGUCGUGUCCUUUGUAAAUCAAUACAGUGAAAGAUGGUCCCCUGAACAACAAGUACAACUCAUCACAAACAGUGUUGUCACCUCUGAGACGUGCUUCCAACCAACUGCUGAAAGUCCUAAUGUGUUCACAUGUAAUCCAGUCGUCGCACUGCUCCGGGUGUUUGGAGCGCAGACUGUUCUUGUGUUCAUCGACAUACGGGGUCACCAAGUAGAGUUCUGUAGAACUGUGUAGUGUGCUUGAGACCAAGAAUGCCCGUCCCUGCAUAUUAUUGAGUCCGCUCCUAGCAUGCCUUUUCCAGUCAGUCUCCCCUCAUACCGCGAUUUAGGGAGACCUAUCUUCUUAAGGCCAGGAAUGAAUUCAACACAAAACCCGAUCACAUCCUCUGUUUGAUGGCCCAUAGAGAUGCUUCCUUCUGGCCUAGCGCGGUUACGGACAUAUUUCUUUAGGACUCCCAUGAACCUCUCAAAGGGGAACAUAUUGUGUAGAAAUACGGGCCCCAGAAUGACAAUCUCGUCGACUAGAUGAACUAGGACAUGCGUCAUGAUAUUGAAGAAGGAUGGUGGGAACACCAGCUCAAAACUAACAAGACAUUGCGCCACAUCACUCCUUAGCCUUGGUAUGAUUUCUGGAUCGAUCACCUUCUGAGAGAUUGCAGAGAGGAAUGCACAUAGCUUCACAAUGGCUAAUCGGACGUUUUCCAGUAGAAGCCCCCUCAAUGCAUGCAGAAGCAGUUGCGUCAUAAUCACGUGGCAGUCAUGAGACUUUAGGUUCUGGAACUUUUUCUCUGGGAUAUUUAUUAUUCUCUUUAUAUUUGACGAGAAGCCAGUCAGGACCUUCAUACUGAGCAGGCAUUCAAAGAAGAUUUCUUUCUCUUCUUUCGUAAGAGCGUAGCUGGCAGGACCUUCAUACUGCUUCGGAGGCAUGCCGUCUUUUUCGUGCAAACGUUGCAGGUCCUCCCGUGCCUCAGGUGUAUCUUUUGUCUUUCCAUACACGCCCAAGAAGCCUAGCAGGUUCACGCAAAGGUUCUUCGUCACGUGCAUCACGUCGAUUGAAGAGCGGACCUCUAGGUGUUUCCAGUAGGGUAGGUCCCAAAAUAUAGAUUUCUUCUUCCACAUGGGUGUGUGUCCCUCAGCGUCAUUCGGAACAGCUAGUGCGCCGGGACCCUUUCCAAAGAUUACGUGUAAAUCAUUGACCAUAGCAAGUACGUGAUCAGCGGUACGCAUGGCGGGCUUCUUCUGGUGAUCUGCCUCGCCUUUGAAAUGCUUGCCUUUCUUUCGACAUUGAUGGUUGGUCGGAAGAAAUCGACGAUGGCGCAGGUACACAUUCUUCCUGCAUUUGUCCAGGUAUAUACUUUCAGUGUCAUCUAAACAGUGUGUGCAUGCGUGGUAUCCUUUGUUUGUCUGUCCUGAAAGGUUACUAAGAGCGGGCCAAUCAUUGAUGGUCACGAACUGCAACGCCUAUAGGUUAAAUUCCUCUUGUCUGUGCUCAUCCCACGUACGUACACCGUUUCCAUUCCACAACUGUAAAAGUUCUUCAACUAAUGGCCUUAGGUACACAUCAAUGUCGUUGCCGGGUUGCUUAGGGCCUUGGAUGAGAACUGGCAUCAUAACGAACUUCCACUUCAUGCACAUCCAAGGAGGAAGGUUAUACAUACAUAGAGUCACGGGCCAGGUGCUGUGAUUGUUGCUCUGCUCCCCGAAAGGAUUAAUGCCAUCCGCGCUUAAAGCAAACCAUACGUUCCUUGGGUCCUUUGCACACUCAUCCCAGUACUUUCUCAUGAUUUUUCUCCACUGCGACCCGUCAGCGGGUGCUCUCAACUUCCCGUCUUUCUUACGGUCCUCACUGUGCCAUCGCAUCGACUUGGCAUGCUUUCCGUUUCUGAACAGACAUUUCAACCGUGGUAUUAUAGGAGCAUACCACAUCACCUUCGCAGGAACCCUCUUCCUGUGGGGCUCGCCGUGAACAUCACCAGGGUCAUCUCGUCUGAUCUUAUACCGCAAUGCACCACAUACCGGGCAUGCAUUUAGAUCCUUGUAUGCACCGCGGUAUAGGAUGCAGUCAUUAGGGCAUGCAUGUAUCUUCUCCACCUCCAAUCCUAGAGGGCAUACGACCUUCUUUGCUGCGUAUGUACUGUCGGGCAAUUCGUUAUCCUUUGGAAGCUUCUUCUUCAAUAUUUUUAGUAGCUUCUCAAAUUCUUUGUCAGGCACAGCAUUCUCUGCCUUCCACUGCAGCAAUUCCAGUACGGUACCGAGCUUUGUGUUGCCUUCUUCGCAAUUGGGGUACAACCCUUUUUUGUGAUCCUCUAACAUGCGAUCGAACUUCAGCUUCUCCUUUUGACUUUCGCAUUGCGUCCUUGCAUCGACAAUGACCCGGCGAAGAUCAUCAUCAUCAGGCACAUCGUCUGGUUCCUCUUGAUCUUCAGCAGCUUCACCAGUUGCAGCAUCAUUGGGCACAUCGUCUGGUUCCUCUUGAUCUUCACCAGAUCCCCCCGUUGUAGCAUCACGGUAUUCAGGGGACACGUAGUUGUCAUCAUACUCUUCUUCUUCGUCGUCUUCCAUCAUAACCCCUAUUUCUCCGUGCCUCGUCCAAACAUUAUAGUGUGGCAUGAAACCCUUGUAAAGCAGGUGGGUGUGAAGGAUUUUCCGGUCAGAGUAAGACUUUGUAUUCCCACAAUCAGGGCAUGGACAACACAUAAAACCAUUCUGCUUGUUUGCCUCAGCCGCAUCGAGAAACUCAUGCACGCCCUUAAUGUACUAGGAGGUGUGUCUGUCACCGUACAUCCAUUGCCGGUUCAUCUGCGUGCAUUAUAUAUAAUUAAGUGUCCAAAUUAAUAGAAGUUCAUCAUCACAUUAAAACCAAAGUACAUACAUAGUUCUCAUCUAACAACAGAUAGCUCUCCAGAGCAUCUAAUUAAUUAAACUAUACAUUGAAACUAUGUAAAACAUUUAAAUGCGAAAACAAAGGCGAUCAUAAUCGCAACCAAGGUAACAAUUGAUCCAACAGCAUAAUGAUACCAAGCCUCGGUAUCAAUGGCAUAUUUUCUAAUCUUUCUAAUCUUCAAGCGCAUUUCAUCCAUCUUGAUCUUGUGAUCAUCAACGACAUCCGCAACAUGCAACUCCAAUAUCAUCUUCUCCUCCUCAAUUUUUUUUAUUUUUUCCAUCAAGAAAUUGUUUUCUUCUUCAACUAAAUUUAACCUCUCGACAAUAGGGUCGGUUGGAAUUUCCGGUUCACAUACAUCCUAGAUAAAUAAAAUCUAUGUCACGUUGGUCCGCAUAAUUUUCAUAAACAAUAAAUGAACCAAUAGUUAUAAAGAUUAAUAUAUAUACCACAUCCGAAUCAUAGACAGGACGAGGGCCGACGGGGGCGGAUACCAAAACCAUCGCACUAUAUAAGAUGCAAUAAUAAAAGUAAGAAAAUGAUACAAGUAUCUAUCUAAACAUACAAGUAAGAAUAUUUUUCCUUUCAGAAAGAAGAUAAGAACAAGAGGCUCACCACGGUGGUGUCGGUGAUGAGAUCGGCGCGGGUGAUCUACGGCGGUGAAGACGGGGGUGGGGCGUGAUGGACCGCUAAAUCUAGACAAAUCUCGAGGAAAAUGGAGCUUUGAGGUCGAGCUUUGGGAGGAGAAAGCUUAACUAGUGUGGCUCGGGCAUUUCAUCGAACACCUCAUGUGCAUAGGAGGUGAGGUAGAGCACCACAAACCCCUCCCCUUGCCAGCCCAGAAAAACAGAGCACUGGAGUGCUCUGCUCGCGGGCGAGGGUAUAUAUAGGCACCUCAUUGGUCCCGGUUCGUGGCAUGAACCGGGACUAAAGGCAACCCUUUGGUCCCGGUUCAGGCCACGAACCGGGACCAAUGGUGGUGGGCCAGGAGCCAGGCCCAUUGGUCCUGGUUCGUCCCACCAACCGGGACCAAAAGGUCCAAACGAACAGGGACCAAUGGCCCACGUGGCCCGGCAGCCCCCCUGGUCUCACGAACCGGGUCCAAUGCCCCCAUUGGUCCCGGUUCUAGACUGAACCGGGACUAAUGGGCUGACCCGGCCUGGACCGUUGCCCCCUUUUCUACUAGUGCAAGCAACAAGAGAAAUUACAUAGGCGUGUGAGUGCGCGCGCACGCACACACACGUGCACACAUGCAUGACAUACAUCGAUUGACUAGAGGUCGCCCCAUAUAGUCAACAAUUUAUUGGAGGUAAACAUUAGCAUAACUUGGCCAUAGAUCGAAGCAAUCCAACAUAUGCCGAUGAAUGGCAUCCAUGUUGGUAGCAAUGCAAGCAUAUCGUUUUAGUACAGUCCUUCCAUCUUCGAAGCCACUCGCAUUUCAUCCAUCUUAGCAACCAC
rnacentral:lncRNA from 1 species